rnacentral:rRNA from 1 species
GAUGAACGCUGGCGGCGUGCCUAAUACAUGCAAGUCGAGCGAACGGACGAGAAGCUUGCUUUUCUAAUGUUAGCGGCGGACGGGUGAGUAACACGUGGAUAACCUACCUAUAAGACUGGGAUAACUUCGGGAAACCGGAGCUAAUACUGGAUGAUAUUUUGAACCGCAUGGUUCAAAAGUGAAAGACGGUCUUGCUGUCACUGAUAGAUGGAUCCGCGCUGCAUUAGCUAGUUGGUAAGGUAACGGCUUACCAAGGCAACGAUGCAUAGCCGACCUGAGAGGGUGAUCGGCCACACUGGAACUGAGACACGGUCCAGACUCCUACGGGAGGCAGCAGUAGGGAAUCUUCCGCAAUGGGCGAAAGCCUGACGGAGCAACGCCGCGUGAGUGAUGAAGGUCUUCGGAUCGUAAAACUCUGUUAUUAGGGAAGAACAUAUGUGUAAGUAACUGUGCACAUCUUGACGGUACCUAAUCAGAAAGCCACGGCUAACUACGUG